rnacentral:rRNA from 1 species
UUUUUAUUGAAAUAUAAUCAUAAAUAAUACCUGCUCAAUGAAACUAAAUAGCCGCAGAAAAUUAACUGUGCUAAGGUAGCAUAAUCAUUAGCCCCUUAAUUAGGGGCUUGUAUGAAUGGUAAAACAUCCCAAUAACUUUAUUAUUUAACUAUUUUAAAUUUAAACUAAAAAUAAAAAUGUUUUUAUAAAAAAAAAAGACGACAAGACCCUUUUGAACUUUACUUUAGUUUAGCUGGGGCAGCUAAAUAAUAAUUAUUUUAUUUAAAUAUUUUAAAUAAAUGACCUUUUAUUAAUUAAGUAUAUGAGCAAGUUACCAUAGGGAUAACAGCAUAAUUUCUUUUUAAAGCUCUUAUUAAAAAAGAAGAUUAUGACCUCGAUGUUGAAUUAAUAUUUCUUUUAUUAAUGCAAUAAUUUAAAAAGUAGGUCUGUUCGACCUUUAAAAUAUUAC